rnacentral:rRNA from 1 species
GAGUUUGAUCCUGGCUCAGGACGAACGCUGGCGGCGUGCUUAAUACAUGCAAGUCGAGCGGGGUUACUGCGACAGAUCCCUUCGGGGUGACGUUGCUUUAACCUAGCGGCGGACGGGUGAGUAACGCGUGGGUAACCUACCCUAAAGCUCGGGAUAACAGUGGGAAACCGCUGCUAAUACCGGAUGACUUUAACCUAUGGCAUCAUGGGUUAAAGAAAGAUUUAUCGCUUUAGGAUGGGCCCGCGUCCCAUUAGCUAGUUGGUGAGGUAACGGCUCACCAAGGCGACGAUGGGUAGCCGGCCUGAGAGGGUGUACGGCCACACUGGGACUGGGACACGGCCCAGACUCCUACGGGGGGCAGCAGUAGGGAAUUUUCGGCAAUGGGCGAAAGCCUGACCGAGCGACGCCGCGUGAGGGACGAAGGCCUUCGGGUUGUAAAACUCUGUCCUUGGGGAAGAAGGAAGUGACGGUACCCAAGGAGGAAGCCCCGGCUAACUACGUGCCAACAGCCGCGGUAAAACGUAGGGGGCGAGCGUUGU